CCUACGGGUGGCAGCAGUGGGGAAUAUUGGGCAAUGGAGGAAACUCUGACCCAGCAAUGCCGCGUGAAUGAAGAAGGUCUUCGGAUUGUAAAGUUCUUUAGUCUGGGAAGAAGUCAAUGACGGUACCUGAAGAAUAAGCUCCGGAUACCUACGUUCCAGCAGCCGCGGGAAUACGUAAGGAGCAAGCGUUGUUCGGAUGGACUGGGCGUUAAGGGUGCGUAGGCGGGUGUACAAGUUAGUAGGGAAAUACCCAGGGCUUAACUCGGGUGUUGCUUCUAACACUGUAGGACUUGAGUGCAGUAGAGGUGAGUGGAAUUCCUGGUGUAGCGGUGGAAUGCGUAGAUAUUAGGAGGAACACCAGAGGCGAAGGCGGCUAACUGGACUGCAACUGACGCUGAGGCACGAAAGUGUGGGGAGCAAACAGGAUUAGAUACCCCUGUAGUC
rnacentral:rRNA from 1 species